AGAGUUUGAUCCUGGCUCAGAUUGAACGCUGGCGGCAGGCCUAACACAUGCAAGUCGAGCGGUAGAGAGAAGCUUGCUUCUCUUGAGAGCGGCGGACGGGUGAGUAAUGCCUAGGAAUCUGCCUGGUAGUGGGGGAUAACGUUCGGAAACGGACGCUAAUACCGCAUACGUCCUACGGGAGAAAGCAGGGGACCUUCGGGCCUUGCGCUAUCAGAUGAGCCUAGGUCGGAUUAGCUAGUUGGUGGGGUAAUGGCUCACCAAGGCGACGAUCCGUAACUGGUCUGAGAGGAUGAUCAGUCACACUGGAACUGAGACACGGUCCAGACUCCUACGGGAGGCAGCAGUGGGGAAUAUUGGACAAUGGGCGAAAGCCUGAUCCAGCCAUGCCGCGUGUGUGGAGAAGGUCUUCGGAUUGUAAAGCACUUUAAGUUGGGAGGAAGGGCAGUUACCUAAUACGUGAUUGUUUUGACGUUACCGACAGAAUAAGCACCGGCUAACUCUGUGCCAGCAGCCGCGGUAAUACAGAGGGUGCAAGCGUUAAUCGGAAUUACUGGGCGUAAAGCGCGCGUAGGUGGUUUGUUAAGUUGGAUGUGAAAUCCCCGGGCUCAACCUGGGAGCUGCAUUCAAAACUGACUGACUAGAGUAUGGUAGAGGGUGGUGGAAUUUCCUGUGUAGCGGUGAAAUGCGUAGAUAUAG
rnacentral:rRNA from 1 species